ensembl:lncRNA
AUUGCCUGAGGGGAGCGCGGCGCGCGGGGGGUUGACGAGGUGUUCGCACGCCUGUACUCCACUCCUACUUUGUUCAGCCUGAGGCAAACGGUGCCGGGACGAAAGGGGGCGGCUGGAACGGUCCUCAAGAGCAGCAGCCCAACCCCGAGCCCAGCUGUUGUGGUACUGCUGAUACAACCCAGAGCGCUGAGUUCCCUCUGCUUCUAACCCAGCCUCACAAUGUGGAGAGACAUCCAUGGAUAACUUAAUUAUGACUUCUCUUUUAUUUUUCGUCUUUUGGACGAAAAUAAGAAAGGAUUUUCAAGCCCAUGGAAGUCUAAAGGAGCAUCUGAUUGAAAACCUUUCAACCUAAGGAUUUUGUUAUGUCGGCAAGUGUACUUUUACGGUGUUGUACAAUAGCACCACCUCGUGGCUUUAAUCAUUUUAACAGCUCAGCUGCUUUGACAGGCAUGCAUCUGAUUAGCUUGGGAAAAAAAUUAUCUUUAAUAUUCUUGAAAUUGUUUUUUAUCUCUAGCUGCUCUUCUUAAUCAGAUGUAGGAAUAUAAUGUAGGUAGUUUUGUGAAGCAAUAUUUCAGAAAAGAUGUAAACAUUUCAGAAAUGUCCUAUACAAGAAAUAUUAUGCAUAUACUUACAAAGAUAUUGGUUCUUCUAUUUUAGAGGUUACUCAUCACUCCUGAUUCUCAUGUUCUUAACAUUCUUCAUUAAUGCACUGAAGAUGAAAAAUAUCAGCAUCUUUGCAAGUUUAGAUAAAACCCAUAAAGGUCAUGUUAGGAAAGGAUUGGAAUAUUCAGCCUUCAUCACUUUGUCUUGUCAAGAGUGAUGCAAAAAACUGCUUAAGCAUGUACUUAAAUUAAAUUGCCUUCUUCAAUCUCACUCAUUUCAAUGUGACAUAAGCAAUUAUUCAAAUUUAAACAUGGGAAAUAAGUUCAGCAUACCACUUGGAGACUGAACUGGGGAAAAAUGCAGAGGUUUCCAUGAUGAAGUAGGAUCUGUCUUUGGCACUCAUACAAAAUCUACUUGUUUUCAACAGGGCUUCAAGCACUCACAGAGAUCUGUUUAUAAAGAUUUUACACUAUACUGAUAAACUGAACUGAUACACUAGUUUUCACUUAGUGUUGUUUUCUGAAUGUACAGUAGCUUUUCCUGGUUAGAUAGCAUUUAGUGACUUGUAGAGGGUGCUCUUAAAGUAGUGGUGAUGGUAGUAUUAUACUGCAAUCAGUAUCUCCAAAGCUUAUCAGUGUUAGGACAUUUAUAUUC